rnacentral:lncRNA from 1 species
GUCCAAUUUAAUUAUAAAGAAUUCUUACUCUUAUAUUGUUACUUCUCUAUCCCACCUUUUCCUAGCCAUGGAACCCAGAGUGGCCUAGUGAUUCCCAAGCUGUCACCCAUCCAGAAACUGACCACACCCAAACCUGCUUAGCUUCAGCAAGGUUGUGGCCUCAUGUGCCUUCAGACCAUACCCAGCCUAACCAUAAGAAGGGAGAACUGGGGGCUUGAAGUUUCCCAUCAACACAUAGUAGCUCGGCAGCAGACUGAGCAGACAAACAGGUAACUUGGUCACAGUCUUCAGGUGAGAGGGGAGAGAUGGGGAGACUUGUUUGGGUAUGAUUGGGAGUGUUGCUUCAGAGCUGAUCAACAUUACUGGCAUAUUAUUGAUUAUAAUACAUUCAUAUAUUGCAAUUUAUACUGUUUUGAUUCAUAGAUUGUAUUUGUUAUACCUUUAUUGCAUUUUUUCUGUAUUAGCAGUUGUUUUUAUUAGGUUUUGUUGUUGUUGUUGUUGUUGUUGUUGUGAGCUGACUCAGCUCAGCUUGGUUGUUCCAAAAGCAGCAUACAAAUAUUACAUCAAAUUGAAACAGUCUACCCAACUGUGGCAAUAUUAGUAGUAUUUAUAUUUAAACUGGAAUGAUUAUUUCUAAAUUUGCAUCUCUAAACUAACAUACACAAAGCUUUGUGCCCUCUCUCUCUUUGUGGAUGUCUCCAGGAGGGAGACAAAAUGAGCAUCAGUUAACCUACCAUCUCCUUUUCCCCACAAUUCAAAGACAAGCCUCCUGUUCCUAUCCCAUCACCUGCCUCCUCUAUCAAAAGAGGCUAUCAAGACCCCUGGAUUCCUCACCUUCUACUCUUCAGCAGUCUCCUACCUGCUUCCUUUGCAUUCCUGGGAUUUCUAGAGACUCAGAUAAGAAAUGCAACCUUCUCAAAGGGUUUACUAGGUCCUUUGCAAGAUUUUUGUGACCAGAAGAUUGCAAAAGAUUGCUCAAAAAAGAUCAGUAAGAGGACAGCUAAGUAAAAAAAGUAAAGGAAAAGGACCCCAGGACAGUUAAGUCCAGUUGAAUUCGACUAUGGGAUGCAACACUCAUCUCCACUUUCAGGCCGAGGGAGCCGGGUCAUGUGGCCAACAUGUCUAAACUGCUUCUGGUGCAACGGGACACCGAGACAAGAAGCCAGAGUGCACAGAAAUGCCAUUUCCCUUCCUACUGCAGCGGUACCUAUUUAUCUACUCACGAUGGUAUGCUUUCAAACUGCUGGGUUGGCAGGAGUGGACCAAAACAACAGGAGCUCACCCCAUUGUGCGGAUUCACACUACUGACCUUCCGAUCCGCAAACCCAAGAGGCUUGGUGGUUUAGACCACAGCACCACCUGUGUCCCUGUAACUUAGCAAUAGAAGUUGAAUCAACAGAGCCACCCUCUUCCAGCCUCCUGAAAGUUUCAAAUUCCUCACUUUUAAAGGCUGGACAAGAUUUGGGGGCUUGUCAGGAGACAACAGAGCUAUCAAUAAAGACGAGAGAGAGUGGACACUGAACUGAAGACUGAUAAAGAGAAACUGGAAGACCAGGUCAGAGAUGUCAUAAACAUAUUGGCCAAUAUGGGGUGUUUUCAGUCUCCUCUGUUGCUAGGCAAACUUUAAAAUACAUUUUUUUAAAAGCUCCAACAACUCUAGGAAUGAUUUCAAUUCCUCCAGCUAUUCAGUGUGUAAUUAUGUAAUGUUGAGGUUGAUACUGAAAUCUGAGAAUUAGCAGAAAUCUCCACUAUGUCAUCAGUCAGAGGCUGUUACUAAAUCUACUCACAGACACAUAGACAUGAGCCUGAAUCUUACUUACAGACAUUUUCACAGAGCUACUACUUUGAGGAUCUUUAUAUGGCACAGAAAUUAUUGCUACUGGCACAAUUACAUUAGAAAUGACCCAUGUUGCUUUGCUCAUUUGGGGGUAAUUGGCAGGAAUCAAUAAAUGCCAAUAUUAUCUUGUUUCUUCAGGGGAAUUAGCAACAACCCACACCAUAUGCUAUGCUUUAUUUAUUUUAUUUCUACAAAAUGACAAAGGACAAACAGGAAUGGCUUUGUGGCUUGGAGCACCAAUACAGAAAUGCAAGAGAGUUAAAUGGUUACAAAUUGUGCAGGCGACCCAAUUCUCAUUGCCUGGACCCUGAGCUUACACAGUUCCUACUACAGAGAGAGAGUUGGGUAUUUCUCGGGCAGGCAUUUAGAGACCCAGGGAGACUGCAGAAGGGAGAAACAAAGCAGGAGGAGGAAAAGUUGGCCUGCAAGUUAAUGGGAGUCCAGGUCUCACAAGAGCUUUAGGUAAGUAAGAUCAAUGAAACAUGAAAAAGAGAAGUGAGAGGGAUGACAUGCAAUGGUUCCCUGUCUUUAGAAUGGGGGAAGCAAAGAGAAGCAGUUUCUUUGCUUUUUACUAUGUUCACUGUCAUUGCUGGGUCCAGGGCUGCUGGCAAUGGCUAAGCUGUUGAUUCUGGGGCAGUGGAGACCCUGACAGCUAUGUACCGUACAUCUAAGAUGGUUUUAGUUUGAGCUUGAUAAACUGAAACACACAUAUCCCAAUUUUGCUUUUUCAUGUGGAAAGGUGACCAGGAUACUAACUUCACCUGACAAGCAGUACAGCAAUUGAUGGCUUCCAGCAUGAUUUGUGUGACAUUCAGUGGACUGUUCAGUCAUCUCAUCUAUUGGGGGGGGUGGAGUAGGGAGGUCAGUUGCAGAAGCAUUGGAUUUUCCUCUUCCAAGCUUCACUGUUGCAUGAGUAGGAAACAUGCUGUGUUCAGUAAAUAGGACCCCCCACACUGUUUAGCCAAACCCUGAACACCAAAAUUCAUCACAAUAGUUUUAACCCCAAGUUAAAGAACACAGUGAUAGGAUGUUUCACAGAAUACCUUGCCUGCGGUAGCAAAACCACACCUUGAGUUUCCUGAACUGCAUAUGGUGGAGAUGGGAACAUGGUUGGUGGCAGCAAUUAACCAAGUGAGGGCCUGGCAGGGGAGCCAGGAAUUCAGAAGGACUCACUGGCUGGGAGCUGAUUCUGCCACUGUGCAGGUCCUCAGCUGGCAUAGGAAACAGAUGCAUGCAGUGGGAAGCUGUGAAGUACAGGACUUUUGAAUGAAAGCUGUCUGUCUCCCAUGUGCAAAAACUUACCCGGCAUGCAAGGCCCACCUGGCACUGCACACCUUCUUGCCCUUCCAGCAGUUCUCCUUUCUGAACACACCUUAUGUACACUUAUAAUGUCCUGCUAAUAUUCCAUGACAAAUCUCUAGUCUUUGGCCUCUUCCCACUUUCCUGUUUAUAUGGGCUGCUAUCCAUUUCAUAGGAAAGGCAGCCUUGAAUUAACUGCUUUAAUUAUUCACUCACCUCAGUAGAAACAUUCAGUUAUUACAAUGUGUUUCUCCCUACUCAAUCCUUCGUGUGUGUGUGUACCCUGCUAGUUCCACAGAUAUGUUUCUUCCUGUCAACACAGGAACCACUGAACUGGCUUUGCUCAUGCUAUUCAGGCGUGCUGGUGCUGAUCUUUAUCUCUUUGACUACUUCUUAGAAAUAUGUUGCACUCUCAACACUGCUUGUAGCCUACAGGCAGUGCUGAGGUGGGUGUGGGGAGAUAAGCUAUGCUUGAUUCAUGGCAAGAUCAAGGCACUUGGGGAGGGUGGGUUCCCAUAUGUGAUAAAUUGGCUGCCCAGCCCAGGGUAGCAUUCCCCCUGAAAGAGCAGGCAUGCUGUCUGGGGUGUUUCUGUGUCCAGCUUUGUCACUGGAAGUCCAAGUAGCCUCAUUGGCUAGAAGUACCUUUUAUGAGCUGCGCCUGGUAUGGCAGCUAUGACCGUUCCUGGACCAGAAGAGCUUGAUCCACAGGAGUGCAGGCAUUGGGGACGUCAAGACUGGAUUGCUGCAGUGCGCUCUAGAUGGGCCUUCCCUUGUCCUGGAAACUCCAGAAUUCUGUAGCCUGGUGUCUAAACUUCAAUGGAUGGGAAUCCAAGUGUGUGCUUGACUGGCAGUCAACAUAUCCAUUUAUGAUGUGCAUAUUCUUUCUAGCUCUGGAAGAAGCUUGAUGUGAGAAGGAAUAAUGGAAGGUCUCUUUAGUACACUCCCUUGUUACAUUUGGGCACAGCCUGUUCCCAUUUUCCUUUGAAUGCAGAUCACACCUCUGUGUGUUGGGUUAAUUAGUUUGCCACAUCAUAAACAAGGCAAACCACCAGCAUUAAUUGGCAUCUGCCUAAGUGAUGCUUUAUAAACUCUAAAUUACAGCAUCGUAAGACCUCCUUGAGUUUAUCACUGUGGCUCGAUCAGACUGAACUCAGAAGCUCAACUUUAUAUUACAGCGAAAUACUUUCAUGACUAACUGGUACACUGUAUGUUAUGACUCCAGGUUCUGCCAACUUCAAGCUUGGCAGCCCAUGAACCCAGGUGGGACUUGCAGGAGGAGAACAGAUGCCAAGUGCAAUUUCACAAAUGAAAUGGGUGGGGAGGUAGGGAACAUGCUAAACAAAUUCAGUACAAAUAUUCUGAAGAGAAUGCGGAUUUCUGCAUACAGCCUGACAUUGACGUCGUGGUUGUUACUGCUGUUGCUACCAUUAUUUUGCAUGACCUUUCUCAAAGAGUUCCUUUUGUACCUAGAGGCUCAGCUUCCUUGGGCAGAGAGAAUAUUCGAGACUGAGUGGUUUUGUGCUAUUUGUUUAUUUACAAAUGCACAGCUUGAGCAGGGGGAGGAAGCGUGUAGGUGCACAAACAGAUAGUGCUAGUGGCAUCAUCCCACCCCGCAAAUCCUGGUGCCCAUACACCUUAAUGCUGCUUCUGGGAAACCAGCAAUAUAAAUGCAAGCUGUUUCAUUUCAUCAGGCCUAAACCAAAGUGCCUCUUUCUUUUCCAUUACUUUAAAAACCAAACCUGCCUUUUGCUCCCACGAGGACUGGCAAGUGCCACUUCCUAAAGCUGGCUUCUUAAUUUUUUUAAGAGGAUCAGCCAUACCAAGACCUGAGGAGAGAGCUACUUUGCACAAUCAAAGUGGAUGUUUACAACAUCAUUAUUGCAUGCAAAGUACAUUUUAAGUGGCUUAGUCAUAAAUAAACUACUUGCCCCAAGAUCUCAAAGUACUUUUAAUGGAAGGAGAAGAGAAAAAUUAGAGGGGCAAUAAAAGAAGCAACAAGCUUUCAGUAAAAUAAUUUUUAAAAAUCAGUUUUCCAAGUUGUUAAAAUGUCUGUUUAAAUAAGAUUCAGUAUCAGUUCCCCCACCUCACCCCACUUUUUUGUUUAUUUCACUGGCCUUGGAGUCUGGCCUUGAUGGCUGGUUAAAACAGGCAUAAGUUUAUUACCCAACCUCAGCAAUACAGCUCAUGAUGUUAUGUUAUCUUCAUUUUGUGGUCCUACCCAUAUGCUCAGCUCAUGCCAAAACUAAUGAAAGUAGCAGCAUCUAGCAAGGUAUAUAAACUGGCCAUUUGCAGACUUAGAAUCAUAGUAUUGUAGAGCUGGUUUUCCUAGCCAAUUUGCAAAUUCUCCCACUGGACAAUGUUCAAGGACAAUUUUCAAAAAGAUGCUUACUGUUGUUUCUAAUAGCCUGAAAUGUGUUCUCCUAUUAGUGCUAAUAUCUCUUUAAAACAUAAAUGACCAGGAAAUCCUGUGUAAAUAACAUUAAUGUUUAUUUCUCAUCUUCAGCCUUUUAGCACUGAUCUUUCUGAAGCCAACACAGCAACAACCUGUGCACAAGAGAAAGGUGAACCCUGAGAUGCAC